GACGAACGCUGGCGGCGUGCCUAAUACAUGCAAGUCGAACGCAGUGGGGACGGGUGAGUAACACGUGGGUAACCUCCCAUCAGAGGGGAUAACACUUGGAAACCGGUGCUAAACCGAUAGUGAUGGAUGGACCCGCGGUGCAUUAGCUAGUUGGUGAGGUAACAGCUCACCAAGGCAACCAUGCAUAGCCGACCGGAGGGGGUGAGCGGCCACACUGGAACUGGGACACGGCCCAGAGUCCUACGGGAGGCAGCAGUGGGAAAUCGUCGGCAAUGGACGAAAGUCUGACCGAGCAACGCCGCGUGGUGGAAGAAGGUUUUCGGGUCGUAAAACUCUGUUGUUAGAGAAGCGGUAUCUAACCAGAAAGCCACGGCUAACUACGUGCCAGCAGCCGCGGUAAUUC
rnacentral:rRNA from 1 species